rnacentral:rRNA from 1 species
UACGUAGGUGACAAGCGUUGUCCGGAUUUACUGGGCGUAAAGAGCGCGCAGGCGGUCGUUCAAGUCGCGUGUGAAAGCCCCGGCUCAACUGGGGAGGGUCACGCGAUACUGAUCGACUGGAAGGCAGGAGAGGGUAGUGGAAUUCCCGGUGUAGUGGUGAAAUGCGUAGAUAUCUGGAGGAAUACCGGUGGCGAAGGCGGCAUCCUGGACCGGCAUUGACGCUGAGGAGCGAAAGCCAGGGGAGCAACGGG